AGUGAACGCUGGCGGUAGGCCUAACACAUGCAAGUCGAACGGCAGCACAGUAAGAGCUUGCUCUUACGGGUGGCGAGUGGCGGACGGGUGAGGAAUACAUCGGAAUCUACUUUUUCGUGGGGGAUAACGUAGGGAUACUUACGCUAAUACCGCAUACGACCUACGGGUGAAAGCAGGGGAUCUUCGGACCUUGCGCGAUUGAAUGAGCCGAUGUCGGAUUAGCUAGUUGGCGGGGUAAAGGCCCACCAAGGCGACGAUCCGUAGCUGGUCUGAGAGGAUGAUCAGCCACACUGGAACUGAGACACGGUCCAGACUCCUACGGGAGGCGGCAGUGGGGAAUAUUGGACAAUGGGCGCAAGCCUGAUCCAGCCAUACCGCGUGGGUGAAGAAGGCCUUCGGGUUGUAAAGCCCUUUUGUUGGGAAAGAAAAGCAGCAGGUUAAUACCCCGCUGUUCUGACGGUACCCAAAGAAUAAGCACCGGCUAACUUCGUG
rnacentral:rRNA from 1 species